GACGAACGCUGGCGGCGUGCUUAACACAUGCAAGUCGAACGGAAAGGCCCUGCUUUUGUGGGGUGCUCGAGUGGCGAACGGGUGAGUAACACGUGAGUAACCUGCCCUUGACUUUGGGAUAACUUCAGGAAACUGGGGCUAAUACCGGAUAGGAGCUCCUGCUGCAUGGUGGGGGUUGGAAAGUUUCGGCGGUUGGGGCUGGACUCGCGGCUUACCAGCUUGUUGGUGGGGUAGUGGCUUACCAAGGCUUUGACGGGUAGCCCGCCUGAGAGGGGGGCCGGCCCCCUUGGGACUGAGGUACGGCCCAGUAUCCUACGGGCGGCAACGGUGGGAAAUAUUGCACAGUGGGCGGAAGCCUGAUGCAGAGACGCCGCGUGCGGGAUGACGGCCUUCGAGUUGUAAACCGCUUUCGCCUGUGACGAAGCGUUAGUGACGGUAAUGGGUAAGGAAGCACCGGCUAACUACGUG
rnacentral:rRNA from 1 species